rnacentral:rRNA from 1 species
AUUAAUCUGAAUGUCUAAGAUUAGCCAUGCAGUCUAAGUAUAAGCGAUUAUACAGUGAACCUGCGGAAAGCUCAUUAUAUCAGUUAUAGUUUAUUUGAUGGUACCCUGCUACAUGGAUAACUGUAGUAAUUCUAGAGCUAAUACAUGCCCGGUAACUCUGACCCCUUUGGGAAAGAGCGGACUUAUUAGAUACUUUAGCCUUCCCAACUUCGGUUGGUUCUUUGGUGAAUCAUAAUAAUUUCUAGAUCGCAUAUGCCUUAGCGGGCGGCGAUGGGUCAUUCAAAUUUCUGCCCUAUCAGCUGUGAUGGUAGUGUAGUGGACUACCAUGGCUUAUACGGGUGACGGAGGAUUAGGGUCUGAUCCCGGAGAGGGAGCCUGAGAAACGGCUACCACUUCCAAGGAAGGCAGCAGGCGCGUAAAUUACCCAAUCCCAAUACGGGGAGGUAGUGACAAGAAAUAACAAUAGUAUGUCUCUUUAAGAGUAUACUAAUUGGAAUGAGAACAACUUAAAAUCCUUAUCGAGGAUCCAUUGGAGGGCAAGUCUGGUGCCAGCAGCCGCGGUAAUACCAGCUCCAAUAGCGUAUGCUAAAAUUGUUGCAGUUAAAAGGCUCGUAGUCGAAUAUAUGACCCUCGUUUGAACCCGGCCCAUCCACUAGUUUGGUUGCGCGCCGGUGUGCACGGGUCAUACUUUCUGAAAAGCAUUACUGCCCUUGAUUGUGGUUGGUAAUGUGAUUCAGAUCAUUUACUGUGAGUAAAAUCAAUAGUGUUCAAAGCAGGCUUCAAUUGCUUUGUAUGGGUUCAGCAUGGAAUAAUUAAGAUAAGACUUCGGUUUUGUUUUGUUGGCUAUACGAACCCAUAGUAAUUGAUUUGACAGGGACCUGUUGGGGGGUGCUUAGUUAUUGGGUGGUUUAGCGGGUGAAUUGGUGAGGAACCCACCUCCAGGACUAACUUUAAUGCGAUAAGCCUUCCCCCAUGUAUUGUCCUUCUUUGUGAUCA